GCUAAAUACUCAUCAUCGACCGAUAGUGAACAAGUACCGUGAGGGAAAGGCGAAAAGAACCCCGGGAGGGGAGUGAAAUAGAUCCUGAAACCGCAUGCUUACAAAAAGUAGGAGCCCGCAAGGGUGACUGCGUACCUUUUGUAUAAUGGGUCAGCGACUUACAUUCAGUGGCAAGGUUAACCGAAUAGGGAAGCCGUAGAGAAAUCGAGUCCGAAUAGGGCGUCCAGUCGCUGGGUGUAGACCCGAAACCAAGUGAUCUAUCCAUGGCCAGGAUGAAGGUGCCGUAACAGGUACUGGAGGUCCGAACCGACUAGUGUUGCAAAACUAGCGGAUGAGCUGUGGAUAGGGGUGAAAGGCUAAACAAACUUGGAAAUAGCUGGUUCUCUCCGAAAACUAUUUAGGUAGUGCCUCAAGUAUUACCGUCGGGGGUAGAGCACUGUUUUGGCUAGGGGGUCAUGGCGACUUACCAAACCAAGGCAAACUCCGAAUACCGACGAGUACAGCUUUGGAGACAGAGCACCGGGUGCUAACG
rnacentral:rRNA from 1 species